UCAAAGGCUCUCCAAGCUCAAGAAAACCCAUACCAUCUCCUUUUCCAUCUAGUCUUUAACAAUAAAAAUAAAAAUCUGAACUAAAUCCAAAUCCAAAACAUUCAGAAUUCCAGAAAACUCCUUCUCUAUGUCCACGUGCUUCAAUGCUCGAUCGUCUUCUUCCACAUACACCCCGGCGUACGUUAACCCCAGCUCCAAGCUCACUCUCUGUCAAAACCCUAAUGUCCAAUUUCUCUUCUCUUGAUAGUUUGUUACUUGCAGUAUAAUUUUCUUGUUUUGUAAAUUAUCAAUCUAAAUAUAAGUAAAAUGAUGGGAUCAGAGAAUCAGGGCUUUGAAGAAGCCCACCUCUACGCAUCUAGAGAAGAGAUGGAAAAUCUCGUUCUCGACGAGCCAUCAAAUAACACCAGCAACGGUACCAAAUCUUUUUCUGAUUACCGUAGUGCCAUGUCAUCACUCUCCGAUGCUCACCACCCUCUAUCGCCGCCGAUGUUGACUGCUCCGGCUGACUCUGAUCCUUUACUCGUUCCUCCACCUUAUCGCGUCGCAACCGAUAACUCUUCUUACAUCGAACCACCAUCCUAUGCUGAUGUCAUUUUUAGUCCGUUCGAUGAAAAUACCGUCAAUGAAAUCAACGGCGUUGAUAGCCCUGGUCGGUCCACUGAUUCUUCUGCUUCUCUCUCACGGUCACCGUCUUCGAGCUCCGACUAUAUUAAAGUAACUGUCUCGAAUCCCCAAAAGGAGCAAGAAACUUCGAAUUCUCUCGUUCCAGGAGGCAAUACUUACGUUACGUAUCUAAUCACGACAAGAACCAACAUACCAGAAUUUAACGGAUCUGAAUUUAGCGUACGGAGGAGAUUUAAAGACGUGGUUACUUUAUCAGAUCGAUUAGCAGAGGCAUAUAGAGGUUUUUUUAUCCCGCCAAGACCAGACAAGAAUGUGGUGGAGAGUCAAGUGAUGCAAAAACAGGAGUUUGUGGAGCAGAGGAGAGUAGCGUUAGAGAAGUACUUGAGAAGACUUGCUGCACAUCCAGUGAUAAGGAAAAGCGAUGAACUGAAGGUGUUUUUACAGGUCCAAGGUAAGCUUCCAUUGCCAACGAGUACUGAUGUGGCUUCGAGGAUGCUUGAUGGUGCAGUGAAGUUACCAAAGCAGUUAUUUGGAGAGAGUGCGGUAGUUGCGCCACAAGAAGUUGUGCAGCCGGCAAAAGGAGGGAGGGAUUUGUUGAGGCUGUUUAAAGAGUUGAAGCAGUCAGUGGCUAAUGAUUGGGGAGGAGCAAGGCCGCCUGUUGUUGAGGAAGAUAAAGAGUUUUUGGAGAAGAAGGAAAGGAUGAAUGAUCUUGAGCAGCAGCUCAGCAAUGCUUCUCAGCAGGCUGAAUCAUUGGUUAAAGCACAGCAAGAUAUGGGGGAGACAAUGGGAGAAUUAGGAUUAGCGUUUAUCAAAUUGACUAAAUUUGAGAAUGAGGAAGCUAUCUUUAACUCCCAGAGAGUAAGGGCUGCUGACAUGAAAAAUGUGGCAACAGCUGCAGUCAAAGCAAGCAGAUUCUACCGGGAGCUAAAUGCUCAGACUGUCAAGCAUUUGGAUACUCUCCAUGAAUAUCUUGGGCUGAUGUUGUCUGUGCAUGGAGCAUUUUCGGACCGAUCUAGUGCUUUGCUGACUGUGCAAACUCUUCUAUCGGAAUUGUCCUCAUUGCACUCAAGGGCUGAAAAACUUGAGGCUGCAUCAUCAAAAAUAUUUGGCGGCGAUAAGUCGAGGAUUCGCAAAAUAGAGGAGUUGAAAGAAACCAUAAGAGUUACUGAGGAUGCAAAAAAUGUUGCUAUCAGAGAGUAUGAAAGGAUCAAGUGGGGAGAAGGAGAAGUCAUGUUUUUAGCUGGAAGGUGGUCUGGGAGCCUGUGCAUAACAUAUUGCUAAAGAGAAUAACAGAAGUGAAGUAGAAAGGCUUGACAGCGAAAGACGUGCUGAUUUCUUGAACAUGUUGAAGGGCUUUGUUCUUAAUCAGGUGGGGUAUGCUGAGAAAAUUGCAAAUGUGUGGUCGAAGGUUGCAGAGGAGACUAGUGGGUACGCAAGAGAGAGCACUUGAAAGUGUGCAUGUAAAUUCAGAUCUUCUGCUCUUAUUUCUCUUUUCUUUAUAUUUAAUAUUGCCACACUGCUAGGAAGUAGUUUUGCAUUGAUACAAUAAAGAAAAGAGAUUACUCUGUAGGUUGUAGCUUAUCAAUUUCACUUUCAAGUUUGCCUGUUAGAGAGGUUGUCUAUACACCCUGAAAUUUUAAUUUGAUGUUGUACACUGGUGUUGAGAUCAUAAUCACAUUGUAACUGUUUGAUGUUGAAAAGUGUCAUGGUCAUUUUAGAAGUUA